CCCUUAGAUGUUCUGGGCCGCACGCGCGCUACACUGAUGCAUUCAACAAGCCUAGCCUUGACCGAGAGGUCCGGGUAAUCUUUGAAACUGCAUCGUGAUGGGGCUAGAUUAUUGCAAUUAUUAAUCUUCAACGAGGAAUGCCUAGUAAGCGUGAUUCAUCAAAUCGCGUUGAUUACGUCCCUGCCCUUUGUACACACCGCCCGUCGCUCCUACCGAUUGAAUGUGUUGGUGAGGAGCUCGGAUUGGCAGCAGUUGGUGGUUCGCCACCGUCUAUUGCUGAGAAGUCCUCCAAACCGCCCCAUUUAGAGGAAGGAGAAGUCGUAACA
rnacentral:rRNA from 1 species